rnacentral:rRNA from 1 species
CAAUAGCGUAUUUUUUGCUGUUGCCGUUAAAAAGCUGCUAAUUAAUUGGGUUUCUGUCAAGGACAACUGGUCCGCCCCCCCGGGUUUUGGUCUUGACAUCUUGCUGGAAGCUGUUGCUGCACUUGGCUGUGUGGCGCAGUGUUCAGCACUUUCACUUUGAGGAAAUUGGAGUGUUUCAAGCAGGCACAUGGCUGUGGACAUAGUAGCAUGGAAUAAUUAGAUCGGGUUUUUGCUCCAAUUUGUCGGUUUCUGAAGUUGAGAUGAGUAUUAAUGGGGAUUGUUGGGUGCAUCCGAAUUUAGUCGUCAGAGGUGAAAUUCUUGGAUUUUCAAUGACGAACAACCGCGAAAGCUUUUGCCGAGGAUGUUUUCAUUGA